rnacentral:rRNA from 1 species
GCAGCUUAAAAAGCUCGUAGUUGGAUUUCUGGGAGGGCGCCAAUGUCCGCUCGUUCGCGUGUGCAGCGGCGCCCUUCCAUCCUUCUGUUAACGUUUCUUGGUAUUCAGUUACUGGUUUCGGGCUCAGAUAUUUUACCUUGAGAAAAUUAGAGUGUUCCAGGCAGGCUUGCGCCGGAAUACAUUAGCAUGGAAUAAUAGAAUAGGACUUUAGUCUCCUUUGUUGGUUUGAGGGACUGAAGUAAUGAUUAAUAGGGAUAGUUGGGGGCAUUAGUAUUUAAUUGUCAGAGGUGAAAUUCUCGGAUUUGUUAAAGACUAACUUAUGCGAAAGCAUUUGCCAAGGAUGUUUUCAUUAAUCAAGAACGAAAGUUAGGGGAUCAAAGACGAUCAGAUACCGUCCUAGUCUUAACCAUAAACUAUGCCGACUAGGGAUCGGAGGCGCGCUUUAUCCG